GAUUUAUAUCGAUUAAUCAAAAACUCUCGGUUCUGCUGGGGAACUUGUUCUCCUAAGGCUGAGCUUUGUGGGCUGUGCCUGUCUGUGCAGCUCGUUCCACGCUGUGUUGCUAUGGUUUUCCGCUGUUCAGGCAGUUAACCAUGGCCGGCGGCCUGGGAGGUGGGUGCGGUGCUCCGUUGACCGAACAAGCUCUCGAGUUUGUUGCGAGGAGAUGACCAACCGCUAAAAGAUCUUCGCCCUCUCCCGGGUUAACCGGAGCUCUCCCAGUUUGGGAUCUCUAACCGUAUGCCUUUUGAUCUUAUGCCACUUGUGGGCAGAAACCGUAAAAGGUUGAAAAAACUACACUAUGCAGUGGAUCACUUGGCUCGGGGGUCGAUGAAGAACGCAGCUAACUGCGCGUCGGAAUGUGAACUGCAGGACACACGAACAUCGACACUUUGAACGCACAUGGCGGACCGUGGCUCGUCCACUGUCCAUGUCUGGCUCAGGGUCGGUUAAACAUCCAUCUAAUCUGGCUUGUCUGGAUUAGCAUUGGGUCGCUGCCGUAGUAAUACGGCACGGCUUUAAGAUUUACCAGAGCUCCCGCGUUGCUAAGGCACGGGCGUUGCGGCUCUUGGGACGGUCUGAACCUCGGUUCUUCCUCCUGGGUCCACUGCUCGCGUCUGUUCGGCUCGCGGAAAGUUCGGCGGACCCCAACUCUUAGUUUGGACCGCCACUUAUUUCAAAUCUCGACCUGAGAGUAGGCAAGGCUACCCGCUGAACUUAA
rnacentral:rRNA from 1 species